rnacentral:rRNA from 1 species
UACGGGGGGGGUAAGCGUUGUUCGGAAUUACUGGGCGUAAAGGGCGCGUAGGCGGUUCGCUAAGUUGGAUGUGAAAACUCUGGGCUCAACCCAGAGCCUGCAUCCAAAACUGGCGGGCUAGAGUUCUGGAGGGGGUAGCGGAAUUCCUGGUGUAGCGGUGAAAUGCGCAGAUAUCAGGAGGAACACCAAUGGCGAAGGCAGCACUCUGGGACGUGACUGACGCUGAGACGCGAAAGCGUGGGGAGCAAACAGG